rnacentral:lncRNA from 1 species
GUGAAUCUAAGUGUGUAUAUUGUAUACUGAGUUAACACGAUACAUAUAUUUUUUUUUUUUAACUCAUCAAUUAUUCUAUGUAACUUUUUAUAAUAAUGGAUAUCAUGCAUGCUUUAACAAUUCAUUUGCUUGUGAACAUAUCUAACGUUUGUCGCACAGUAAACGAGUUAGUUGCUAAUAAGAUUACUUGAAAAGUUAAAUAAUCGUUUACCACGUUAAUUCAAAAAAAAAAAAGUAAAAGGAAAAGAGUUUGCUGACCAAUGGCAGUUUCUGUAAUUAGAUUAGAAAAUAAGGAUAAAUAUGGUUUAACAAUUUGGCAAUUGAAAAUGAUAACGUGUAGCGCG